rnacentral:rRNA from 1 species
UACGGGGGGGCAAGCGUUGUUCGGAAUUACUGGGCGUAAAGGGCUCGUAGGCGGCCAACUAAGUCAGACGUGAAAUCCCUCGGCUUAACCGGGGAACUGCGUCUGAUACUGGAUGGCUUGAGGUUGGGAGAGGGAUGCGGAAUUCCAGGUGUAGCGGUGAAAUGCGCAGAUAUCAGGAGGAACACCAAUUGCGAAGGCAGCUCGCUGGGACGUUACUGACGCUGAGACGCGAAAGCGUGGGGAGCAAACAGG